rnacentral:rRNA from 1 species
AGGUGCUGCAUGGUUGUCGUCAGCUCGUGUCGUGAGAUGUUGGGUUAAGUCCCGCAACGAGCGCAACCCUUGUCGUGUGUUGCCAGCKGUUCGGCCGGGCDCUCACACGAGACUGCCGGUGACAAACCGGAGGAAGGUGGGGAUGACGUCAAAUCCGCAUGGCCUUGAUGUUCUGGGCUACACACGUGCUACAAUGGUCCCGACAACGGGAUGCGACGGCGCGAGCCGGAGCGAAUCCUUCARACGGGAUCUCAGUUCGGAUUGCAGGCUGCAACURGCCUGCAUGAAGCCGGAAUUGCUAGUAAUCGCCNAUCAGNAUGGGGCGGUAAAUUCGUUCC